UGAGAUCAACAAGUAUGAUGCAUGGGCCUUGUACAGAUUGGAGCUGAAACUUGUUGAUGGGAAGAAGAGUCCAAAAGGGAAAGUAAUGAAUGAAUCAGUUGCUGAUUUGCAAAAGCAAAUGGGAAGGCUCUCUGCUGAUAUUCCUUUGGAGAACAAGCGCUCUGUUAAAGGCAGAGGAAAGGCCAACUCAAAGGAUGUUGUUACUAACGGGCCUCCUGCUCCAAAUCAAACUGUUCCCGCUAUUGAAGGGUUUGAUUAUGUGGCUGGUGCACCUUUCCCUGAUUAUCUUGUUGAUAAUAUAGGUGGCUACUACAUAACGUAGACCGGAUUAGCAGUUGGGUGCUUUUAAAAUAUGUUGCAUUUUGUCUGUGUAUUAUACUCAACCUCCAGUGGUGGCUGGAGUCAAACGGAGGUUCUUGUUUCCUUCUUAUAAGGUGGAGGCAUCUGUGGAACCCCCCUCCUGUUCCCGUAGGUACAUUUGUCAAUACAUCAUUGUCAUCUAAAAGUGUUGUUACAGUCUAACCUCGAAGCAUUUUUAACUACUUGAAGAUGAGGUGGAUAAUCCCUGUUUACUUGUUCAGUUAACUUUACAUAUCAGCCAAGUUAUGAAAGUGAAUGCAGUUAA
rnacentral:misc_RNA from 1 species